GAUGAGUGCUUGCGGCGUGCCUAACACAUGCAAGUCGAGCGGCAGCGCGAGUAGUUUACUACUUGGCGGCGAGCGGCGGACGGCUGAGUAACGCGUGGGAACGUGCCCCAAAGUGAGGGAUAACUGCCCGAAAGGGUGGCUAAUACCGCAUAUGAUCUUCGGAUUAAAGGAUUUAUCCGCUUUGGGAGCGGCCCGCGUUAGAUUAGGUAGUUGGUGAGGUAAUGGCUCACCAAGCCGACGAUCUAUAGCUGGUCUGAGAGGAUGAUCAGCCAGACUGGAACUGAGACACGGUCCAGACUCCUACGGGAGGCAGCAGUGAGGAAUCUUCCACAAUGGGCGAAAGCCUGAUGGAGCAACGCCGCGUGAAGGAUGAAGGCCCUAGGGUUGUAAACUUCUUUUAUAAGUGAAGAAUAUGACGGUAACUUAUGAAUAAGCACCGGCUAACUACGUGCCAGCCGCCGCCGUAA
rnacentral:rRNA from 1 species